rnacentral:ncRNA from 10 species
UGGAAGACUUGUGAUUUUGUUGU